rnacentral:rRNA from 1 species
CAGCCGCCACGGUAAUACGAAGGGUGCAAGCGUUACUCGGAAUUACUGGGCGUAAAGGGAGCGUAGGCGGACAUUUAAGUCAGGGGUGAAAUCCCAGAGCUCAACUCUGGAACUGCCUUUGAUACUGGGUGUCUUGAGUGUGAUAGAGGUAUGUGGAACUCCGAGUGUAGAGGUGAAAUUCGUAGAUAUUCGGAAGAACACCAGUGGCGAAGGCGACAUACUGGAUCAUUACUGACGCUGAGGCUCGAAAGCGUGGGGAGCAAACAGGAUUAGAGACCCCGGUAGUCCCUGUCUCUUAUAC